rnacentral:lncRNA from 1 species
UCACCUUCUUAUCCAAAGGCUUUGUCUUAUGGUGAGGAAGCUGGUGAGGCAAGCUGCACUGAACACUCAGGUGUUGUGAAAAUGUCUUCUGGGCAUGUAACAUCACAGUGAGUCACAGAACACAGAGACCAGAGGAUCAAGGAGACUAGACAGGCGUGCUUUGGACGCAUAAAGACCUACCUCAUCUUGCUGCCAACUCAAGACUGCCUUGUAUGGAUGAUCCCUCUGAAAAAAAG